CAGGAAAAGUCUCUAAGCUUCAGUUACACAGGAAUCGUACCCGAAACCGACACAGGUGGUCAGGUCGAGUAGACCAAGGCGCUUGAGAGAACUCUGCUGAAGGAACUAGGCAAAAUGGUACCGUAACUUCGGGAGAAGGUACGCUGUUGUUGGUGAUGGAACUCGCUUCCUGAGCUGACGACAGCCGCAGAAACCAGGCCGCUGCAACUGUUUAUUAAAAACAUAGCACUCUGCAAACACGAAAGUGGACGUAUAGGGUGUGAUGCCUGCCCGGUGCUGGAAGGUUAAUUGAUGGGGUUAGCGUAAGCGAAGCUCUUGAUCGAAGCCCCAGUAAACGGCGGCCGUAACUAUAACGGUCCUAAGGUAGCGAAAUUCCUUGUCGGGUAAGUUCCGACCUGCACGAAUGGCAUAAUGAUGGCGGCGCUGUCUCCAGCAGAGGCUCAGUGAAAUCGAAAUCGCUGUGAAGAUGCAGUGUACCCGCGGCUAGACGGAAAGACCCCGUGAACCUUUACUGCAGCUUGACACUGAACUUUGACCUUACUUGUGUAGGAUAGGUGGGAGGCUUUGAAGCUGGAACGCUAGUUCCAGUGGAGCCGUCCUUGAAAUACCACCCUGGUAAUGUUGAGGUUCUAACUCUGUCCCGUGAUCCGGGACGAGGACCGUGUCUGGUGGGUAGUUUGACUGGGGCGGUCUCCUCCUAAAGAGUAACGGAGGAGUACGAAGGUGCGCUCAGCGUGGUCGGAAAUCACGCGUAGAGUAUAAAGGCAAAAGCGCGCUUAACUGCGAGACCCACAAGUCGAGCAGGUACGAAAGUAGGUCUUAGUGAUCCGGUGGUUCUGUAUGGAAGGGCCAUCGCUCAACGGAUAAAAGGUACUCUGGGGAUAACAGGCUGAUACCGCCCAAGAGUUCAUAUCGACGGCGGUGUUUGGCACCUCGAUGUCGGCUCAUCUCAUCCUGGGGCUGAAGCAGGUCCCAAGGGUAUGGCUGUUCGCCAUUUAAAGAGGUACGCGAGCUGGGUUUAGAACGUCGUGAGACAGUUCGGUCCCUAUCUACCGUGGGCGCUGGAAAUUUGAGAGGAUCUGCUCCUAGUACGAGAGGACCAGAGUGGACGAACCUCUGGUGUACCGGUUGUGACGCCAGUCGCAUCGCCGGGUAGCUAUGUUCGGAAGGGAUAACCGCUGAAAGCAUCUAAGCGGGAAGCCUACCUCAAGAUAAGAUUUCCCUAGGACUUUAUGUCCUCUAAAGAGCCGUUCGAGACUAGGACGUUGAUAGGUUGGAUGUGGAAGCAUAGUGAUAUGUGAAGCUGACCAAUACUAAUUGCUCGUGAGGCUUGACUA
rnacentral:rRNA from 1 species